rnacentral:misc_RNA from 1 species
AACGCACAUUGCGCCUUCUGGUACUCCGGGAGGCAUGCCUGUUCGAGCGUCAUCAAACACAUCCUCAAGCAUCUUUUGCUUGGUCUUGGGGGAAGAUGCCCGCAUCUCUCCCGAAAUCUGUCAGCGGAAAAGCCGUGUCAGUCUACAGGUGUGAUACUUACUGUUCACCUGGUGACUCCGAUGGUGUUCUUGCUGUUAAUAGCCCCCCAGCUUCUCAUGAGUUUGACCUCGGAUCAGGUAGGGAUACCCGCUGAACUUAA